AUUGGCAGAACCAGCGCGUUGAAACGAAUCGAUAGUGCCUGGCUUUAGAGUAUCGAUAGUACCGAUGACUGUCUUCCAGAUCUAGUAGUCGCAGAGAUUUUUUUGGGGGAGGUGCGGAAACGCUUCUACGACUUCUUUUACACACAAUUUUUCGCAAUACACACACAUCCACAGCAAGCAAACGAACGAACUAAAAAGAAAAUAAAAA